rnacentral:rRNA from 1 species
GACGAACGCUGGCGGCGUGCCUAAUACAUGCAAGUUGAGCGAUGAAGAUUGGUGCUUGCACCAAUUUGAAGAGCAGCGAACGGGUGAGUAACGCGUGGGGAAUCUGCCUUUGAGCGGGGGACAACAUUUGGAAACGAAUGCUAAUACCGCAUAACAACUUUAAACAUAAGUUUUAAGUUUGAAAGAUGCAAUUGCAUCACUCAAAGAUGAUCCCGCGUUGUAUUAGCUAGUUGGUGAGGUAAAGGCUCACCAAGGCGAUGAUACAUAGCCGACCUGAGAGGGUGCUCGGCCACAUUGGGACUGAGACACGGCCCAAACUCCUACGGGAGGCAGCAGUAGGGAAUCUUCGGCAAUGGACGAAAGUCUGACCGAGCAACGCCGCGUGAGUGAAGAAGGUUUUCGGAUCGUAAAACUCUGUUGGUAGAGAAGAACGUUGGUGAGAGUGGAAAGCUCAUCAAGUGACGGUAACUACCCAGAAAGGGACGGCUAACUACGUG